rnacentral:rRNA from 1 species
CCCUUAGAUGUCCUGGGCUGCACGCGCGCUACACUGGAAGUUACGGAUUGAGAUACUACCUUGUCCGAAAUGGUCCGGGUAAUCACCUAAAAGCUUGUCAUAAUUGGAAUGGAUUAUUGUAACUAGUAAUCCUGAACGAGGAAUUCCUAGUAAGUCCCAGUCAACAGCUGGUACUGAUUACGUCCCUGCCCUUUGUACACACCGCCCGUCGCUACUACUGAUUGGACGUUUAAGUAAGAUUUUUAAACACUGACAGUGUGUAGUUCACGCUAUACUACAGUGAGAAGAAGAAGAUCGAGCUUACUUGUCUAGAGGAAGUAAAAGUCGUAACA